rnacentral:rRNA from 1 species
GACGAACGCUGGCGGCGUGCUUAACACAUGCAAGUCGAACGGAAACGCCCUGCUGUUUGGUGCUGCUCUAGUGAGUAACGGGCGAGUAAGACGUGAGUAGGCUGCCCUUGGCUUUGGGAGAACUUCAGGAAACUGGGGCUAAUACCGGAGAGUAGCGUCGGCUGCAUGGUGGGGGGGGGAUAGUUGCGGCGGUUGGGGAUGGACUCGCGGCUUAUCAUCUUGCUGGUGGGGGAGUGGCUUACCAAGGCUUUGACGGGUAGCCGGCCUUUGAGGGUAUCCGGCCACAUUGGGACUGAGGUAGGGAGCAGAGUGGAACGGGAGGCAACAGUGGGAAAUAUUGCACAGUGGGGGGAAGCGUAAUGCAGCAACGCCGCGUGCGGGAUGUAGGCCUUCGGGUUGUAAAGCGCUUACGCCUAUGACGAAGCGUGAGUGACGUUAAUGGGUAAAGAAGCACCGGCUAACUCCGUG